UCCCUGCCAGACCGGCCACCUGCCCACCAACCCUGUCCGCUGAACGACGCUUCCCAGUAUUCGAGCGAUCGCUACCACUCGCGCACGCAAAUCCUUCGGCCGGGGAUGUGCGUAGACCGCGCCACCGCGUCGACACACAUCGUACUAUUACGGAGGUACGUGCGAGCCAGCGUAGUGGCAACGUGCUCGAGGUGACGUGACGUGACGUGCUGACGUGUGCCGUGCCCCCAUGUAACGUGUAGCCCUGUCCCCGUUUAGGGUACGCGUCACACCAAAAUCGCGAGAGCCGGGCCCGCCGCGAUGCACCGAACCGAGAUAGCGUCUUAACGGUCGUCCGUCCGUUCGUAACGCCACCGCGAGAGCUAUGGAUCCGCCGGGAGCCGCGUUGCUCGUGUCCCGCGAGCGUCCCUGAGAAGGGACGCGACCCUCGCGAGAAACCGUACGGUGGAUGCUGCGUGCCUCGCGUGUCCCCGGGUUACGGCACGGCGGGCGUCGUCGGUUUCGAAUUUCAACGAUCUAAAGCAGUCGCGCUAAAGCACGUUGCGGGUUCAUCUUCUGCCCUGCCUGGAAGCUAUAGCAGAUGGAAUUUUGAAUGAUUGAUGAGGAGAUUUUGAACCGAUGAAAGCGGGGCGGCAGCAAUUGAAGAAUUAAAUAUUCAUCCCGCGGAGGAUUGCAGGAUUCAUGCCUCGUUUCUCGUUGAAAAAUCGCAGUUCGAAACGAGCCGCGUGUUAAGAAGGCAUCCACUGCCCCCGAGGAUAUCUAACGACCUCGUCGUGGUUCGCUCGACGCCAGCGAUGUUUGCAGCCGUUUAUAUAAAAAGACACAUUAAUGUUUACCGACUUUAAUAGGUCAAACGAGGUGCGCUCUUUCGCGCUCGACUUUUCCAGGCAGCCACCGUUGCUCGUUUUCAUUCUCCCUCGGCGUUACUCCUGUUUCAUUCAUCGUCACCGGGAGGAAAAUAAUAAACUCGACGAUUCACGCUAGACAGAUUGCUAUUCUACACGAUAUAAAAAGAUCGCAAUGCGAUGAAGAAGGAGGCAACUAAAAUUACGCGUCCUCUUGUAAUAAAAAAAUGAAUCGACUCGGCGCAUUUCAGCUGACGAACAGAAUAUUUUUAAACUCGAUCAAACGUUGAACGCAAAUACCCGCCGACGGACAUUUCACCGGCCGUUAGUCUGAAUCAGACGAAGUACGGGACACAAGAAGAAACAUCUCGUCAACCUGUGUUAACAUAUUGUACCGAUCUCAAGUGAUUGAUUAGAACUCUCGUAAUUAGCGGAACGGCAAAGUACUUGCGGGAGUAACAUGUGAACGUGGACUAAUUACCGUUGAACUGAUUUCCAUCACGAGUACCCAGCGGUAAUAAUUACCGGUGGCUUCCCUCGACCUUUGCUCCCCUUUGCCACCCCGUCACCCUUUCUUCUUCGGUUUCGAAAAACACACUUGACACAAACAACGGGGCUGGCGUUUCGGAGCGAGCACGGCACGGCACACCGCCUAACAUGGCUACGUGUUUCGACCAACCUUCGUUUCGCGCUUCACAAAGGAACGAGGUCAUUAGGUACGCGAGAGACCAGGAAGGGUCGAGGGAAGUUGGCCACGCGAGAACAAGUUGCCGCGGCACUUUUGUCGGUGCCUUCCUUUCAUUCCGAAACGAUGUCACCGCAGUCGAAUCCGUCGUAGCUUGAUAUCCCGUACGACUUCACGGCAUCGGCUCCGUUUGAUCCCGCGAUUCCGCAGUCGCGAAACGGGGGAACGUCAAAGGCGAUUUCCCACGGAGAAUGAUCGAGUGGCUUUCUCAGCCGCGGGGGCGAAUAAUCGGCACCGCUUUUCACGCGAUCGCGGUGUAAUCGUCGACGGUUUAUUACGGAUUGGAUGCUAUCGGGCCGUUUCAUCGCUUCUAAUCGCCCGUGAACCGAUCGCAACGGCACUAAUUCGCGCUAAAUCGGUCGGAAUCGAACGGUAAGCGAACGAGCGACGAGCUCGCUCCAGUGGCUCGACGAAGUUUCAGGACUGUUUCAAAUCGCAACACGUACGAUUAUUCAUUUCAUUCUCAUCGGAACGAUCGACCUGGGAUAAAGCGAGGACAACGUCGUACCUUGUAUGCGAUGGAGACAGCACCGAUCUUUCGAUCUUCACUGAAAUGCGAAUUGGACGACUUACUGAACAGUACGAUCUUUUUGAUAACUGUCGUUAGAUAACGUGCUCCCGGAUCGCGGAUCGAUCCAGGAGUAAUUUAAGGGCUCGCCGAGCACGACCUUUUCACUCGAGCGUGAAGGCAUCCUCGGUCUGAGAUCGAGGCAAUAAACCAGGACGCUUGCACCGAAACGAAGAGGAACUCUAAAAAAAGGAUAAUCCUGAUUUCGUGUUUUUUCCUUAUUGGAUGGUCGCAACGAGAGCACGGUUAUUUAUUUUCAAUUCGAACUCGAAGAAUCGUCGAGAAUAAAGAAAUAAUCCUAUUAAAAGGCCGUUCGAAAGGAAGCGAAAGCAUUCGUCGCAAGAGGUUACUGAACGGUACAAAAAGAAGGAAGCUUGAAUAAAGGUCUAACAACCUCUCCGUCGAACCCCAUCGACUGCUCUGGUAAUUGUCGGAAGGCGAUAUUCACAUUUUCAAAUGAAAGAAACGAGACGGGAAAUGCAGUUGGCGUAGAAGAUUCUACGAGUGCGCUGGGUAUGUCGCAUAGUGUCGCAGCACGAGUCUCCGCUGUGUGAACAAUGGAAACGGGGCUGCACAGUGACGGAAGAUAAUCAACCUCCUUGAUGUUGUCCCGAUUUAUCCGAGAGCUUUCAGCGGAUAGCAGCGAGCAAGAAGGGGGACGACGACGAGCGAAGGGUGACGUUUUGUGACCGUCCGAUCAGCGGGCACUGGAGGAGUCCCGCGGCGACGACGCCUCUCACCGCCAAGCGGACACCGUCGGGGGUGGUGAACGUAAUGUGAGAACGGCCGGUGAAGCGAUGACGGUGACUCCGUCGACCUCCGAUGUCGCUGACAAGGCUGUUUCGACGGACGAUGCUGGCAGCGGAAUGAAGGUGGCACGUCUCGAAGCCGUCCUCACCGCUCUGGUGGAAACGAAGGUGGAGGCGAUCAAAGCCUCCUCGGCCAUGAGCAAGCGUUCCGGUAGCGCGCCGGCUAGUCCGCGCCGGCUUAGGCUAACUUCCACUUCGACUGCCUCUUCUUCGCUGAACCACCAGCGCCGAAGGAAACAUCACCAUCACUACCACCAUCAUCAUCAUCAUCAGCAUCAUCACCACCAUCACCGCAAGAGGCACGACUCGGCGCCGUGCAACGAGCUCAUCAGUGAAACCGCGGAUCACCGUCACCACAAUACCCAUCACGGUAAGACGAGGCGAAGGGCGUCAGAAAGUCCGCGACGCCCGAAGAAGAAGCGCAAACAUUCGAGGAGCCCGAACAUCCUGAACGGUAUAGUCCAAGACGUUCAUACCGGUCUUGAUUCACGCCUAGAGCUUUUCGGAAUGGACGGCGACCAGGACCUCGCGUUGAUAAACUUCGAAAGGACUCGAGAGACUCUCAGCGAUUCUUGCGAAUAUCCGCAGUUGCACCGAAGUGCCUCUUACUUUCCCCAAAGUGCCGCUCAUUUAAAGAUCCACUACGAUGACGACGAUUACGUGGCGUUGAACGUAGCGGACGAGCUGGAAGAGGAGGAAAUUUUUAGCGGCACCGAGAAGAUCGAGGCACCUCGGGAGAAGUACCAUCGACCCCGCAGAAAGAGGAAACGGAAACGGCGCAGAGUUGAGACCACUGUGCCCCAAGAAGAACUCGUUGAUCCCGACGAGCUUCCGCCGCGCGCGCGUUGGACCAUCGUCGUGACCGCUUGCAUCCUUCUCAUGAUGUCCUUGCUGCUAGUCGGAGUCACGCUCAGGAUGGCGCCGAUCAUCGACGACAUGGUGCGCAGGGAGAACGAGGAACUGUUAAACUCCCUGAACAGAAUGAUCAUAAUCGAGAACUCGACGACGGCUCCCUAAAAGAAGACGUCCCGAGGCGGCAAGAACGGCCUGUUUUGAUGCGCCUUCGGAAGAAGUCCGGCAAACUGAGAAAAAUAAGGGAUAAUGAGUGCGACAACUCGGAGCGGCAGGGCCGGGGAAGCCGUUCCCUGGAAGCGGCGGACUUUUAUUACGACUGCAUUUUAUCCGAGACGACUUUAAACGAUAGCGGAGCGAAGUGGUCGUUUAAUUUGUCAAUGUCGUCGUGGCGCACGGUUAAUUUGUCGACCCCGCCGACAGUGCGAACUUCGAACUAGGUCCGUGGCAACGCGGAAUCGACGUACAUAGAAUUUUAUCAUCCCAUUGUUCCGAAGGCAGCCGUCCUCAAGAAACGUAACUCUUCUUCUCAGGAGACGGAACGGUCGUACCGGCCUGUGUCGAAAUUGAACGCCACAUUCAGAGAGCAUUGUUUUCGUUAACGUUUCCCCUUCGGGCAUUAAUUAAAUAUAAAUUAAGAGAAGGCAUCAUCGAAGAUAAGAAAGUAUUUAUAACGUAAUUAUCAAAUCAGUUCUCGUGUUGCAAAAAUUACAUCGUCCUGUUUUCGUUCUACAUAAAAAUUCGCGAGCGCUUAUCUCACUUUAGUUGCGAACGCUAUCUCUGAACGGCUUUCACUCCAAUCGAUCUUCGCGGGUCGAAGGAAAUUGAAUUUGUAAAAUACUAGCGUAGCUCUCGAAGUUUCAACAUAGGGACAACGGCUGAUUCUACCGAGACAUUAUCGCGGCUUCGUGAAAUAUAUUUGCGUCGCACAAUCCAGCUCGUCGAUCUUUUUCCCAAUAUUUCGUAGGAGUGAUGUAUCACGGAAGGCAAAAAUGGUCACUGAUACAGGAACAAAAAUUUAUCCUUUCUCGUUCGCGUGAAGAAAAAAGAAAAAACUGAAAAUUCAAUUUUGACGACGAACGGAGUACCCGAGCCGUUACUUUGUCGGUGUGAACGAGAACGAAGCGUUGCAAUUGGGUACAAUUGUUAAUACUUAAAACUAUGUACGCGUAUAGUAACGCAGCUAUAGUAACGUAGUAAAUCGCGUUUCUUGGCCGGCAUUGUCAAGACAUAAUUUCGCGAUCAAGUAUGUAUGUACAUACGUACAAUCGAGUACAUAUGCAUUUCGUAUAAUAGAGCAUCGAGCCACGCCGUUACAUACGUAUCUAUCGCGCAUUUUCUAGACAGCGCGAAUCCCGUUUUUCUACUUGGAAUCGAUCCCGGUUCAGUAUUGCGGACGCGAGCGAAAUUUCGUGGUUGUUCUUGAACGUGGAUUAGCGAGUAAUAAGAACCAGUGGCAAGCCGUGCCGUGCGUUCGUGGCAAGAGAGAGAGCAAAUUGCCCACUAUAGGAAGUAUUUAUGGCUGAUGACUCCUCCGCGCACGGCCGGCUACCGGUUUUAAUUCUUCACAAAUUCCUCAAUGUUGCAAAAAGCUGCUGACGUGCAUUAAACAGAUGUCCACCAGGUUCUGAUCAUACAAGCAUUUUUCAAAUUAAUAAUUCAAUCCCCUACGUCGUAUCUGAUAUUACAUUUGAUUAGGCUUCGUCUGAUGAUUAAUAAAUAUUUUAAUAUUUGAUUAAUAUACUGUUUUCGUGAACCGUGACGAUGUGAUAUGUACGUAUAUAUUCUUUAACCGUGCGGGAUCGGGUCACGGACGAUUUGCGUGAUUGGAAAAGUGGCAUCGAGUCGCUUAACUUAGGUUUGAAACUGUCGAGCGCGUAUGUACCGAUUAAAUCGUUUGGCCUAACGCGAGGAUUAUUCUGUCGCUAGUCUUCUCUUCCAACGGUACGAAUCUGUACAUUAUGAAAAAUAUAAAUUUGUAAAGGAUAGAGAGAUGAAGUAUAACAUUGACGCACCGUACGCUACUCCCUGUGCGAGGUUCCAAAUGAAUGUUCAGUCGAUACGGUGACGUAGGUGCACUAGCAAUUUAAAUGAAUUACUAUUUUAAUAAUAUUAGGUUGGUGUAUAUGUAACACGGAAUUGUCGUUGCCCUCAAACGUAGCAAAUAUAGUUCCUGUUAAUAAUUUAUCAGUUUCGUAUAUUCCUAAAUAAUUAAAUAAUUUUAUUACCCUGCGUGUAACAAAAAUUAAACUCUGCCAUUUAUUGUCCUAUAUUGUGUUUAUAAUUUUAGUCCUGACUUCUUUUCAUCAUUUUCAUAAUAAUAUUUCAGAUGAAACUGAUUGUAGAAAAUGACACUAUGAUUUUGGAACAUUUUGAUUCAUAACACGACAUGAGAUAAUCCAUGAUAAAUGGAAACUAAACGAGAUUUCAUAUAUGCAUCGACCUAAUAUUUUUUGCAAUUCCUAUAAACAGAGUGAAGGAUUGAAAGCAGUGAUUAGAAUUUAUUUUCCUCGAGUCUAAAAGACGAUUAACUUUCUUCUUUUUCGAAGAAAGAGAAUGGUGUUUCUGUGUCAAGAGACAUGUUGCGAGAAGAGAGUGGAAAACCAAGUAUUUCCGUGGAAGUACAACGGUAAGCUUUCAAGCAAGUAGAUUAAGCUGUUAUAGACAGACAAAAUGUGUGUGCCAAAAAGCCAAGAAGGAGAUUGUUAUUCUAUUGAAGUAGAAUUGCGUAGAAUAUUAAUUUCCCCUUCGACAAUCAAAUCGCGGUGUGAAUUGAGUCGCGUGUCUACGUGCGAUUGAAUGAUCAAUAAUAAAAGAAAAACUACUACGUAUGAAGAAAGAAUGGUGCAAGUAGACAAUUACUGUUUCUAAUUUACGAGGUGAUUCAUUUCCACGCUUCAUUCCUUCCGCUUGUGUCUUCCUUUAGGAGUAGAAUCGAGCAAAGAUAAAAAAAUACUGUUGUUCCUUAAUUAUUUAUAUAAACAAUUCGCGACGCUUGAAAGAUGAUUUCGUUGUUUUAAAAUCUGCAUUCCAAGAUUGUUUGUAAAGAGAUAAAAGUAUUUAUUUAGGAAGUAAGUAAUCAACGUCGAGUACCGAAAGCAGAUUGUAAUCAACCUCUCGAUUGUUCUUUUUAAAAUUAGGCCACUGAGACCAUACAUACGAUGACUCUGCGUUACACGCAUUUUCCAAUUAAAUAAUGGUCGGAAUUUCGAAUUCUUAUAAUUAACAGGAAUAUAUACGAGAAACGAAUUGUACGAAGGACGCGAUAGUAAUAUUUCAACAUGUUCAUUGCGAUGUGCGAGGCAAGUUAUUUUUAAAAGGGGACAACUCUUCGUUAAACUAGUCGACCGCAACCGGUGGACGACUAUUCAAUACGUACAAGGCAUAAGCAGAGGGAUUUAUCAUAAGAAAUCGUAAUAAUAAUCUCGAUUGCGAGACGUGUAUCAUACUGACGAUGUUGUAAAAUGUUAACGGAUGAGAUAUUAAGGUUUAUGUUUCUAUAUUGUAAUAACAUUUAUGUAUAAUGGUUAUUAUAAUGCAAAAAAUAUACAUGCUAGUUGUCCACGUU